rnacentral:rRNA from 1 species
UACGGGGGGGGGCAAGCGUUUGUUCGGAAUUACUGGGCGUAAAGGGCGCGUAGGCGGUCCUUCAAGUCCCGCGUGAAAUCCCCCCGGCUCAACUGGGGAACUGCGCGGGAAACUGUAGGGCUUGAGUUCGGGAGAGGGAAGCGGAAUUCCGGGUGUAGCGGUGAAAUGCGUAGAUAUCCGGAGGAACACCGGUGGCGAAGGCGGCUUCCUGGACCGACACUGACGCUGAGGCGCGAAAGCCAGGGGAGCAAACGGG